rnacentral:tRNA from 1 species
GCCUUCGUGGUGUAGUGGUCAGCACGCUCGACGUGUAUUCGAGAGGUCCAUGGUUCGAGUCCUGGCGAGAGCA